UCAGUUGUGAAAGUUUGCGGCUCAACCGUAAAAUUGCAGUUGAUACUGGGUACCUUGAGUGCAGCAUAGGUAGGCGGAAUUCGUGGUGUAGCGGUGAAAUGCUUAGAUAUCACGAAGAACUCCGAUUGCGAAGGCAGCUUACUGGACUGUAACUGACGCUGAUGCUCGAAAGUGUGGGUAUCAAACAGGAUUAGAUACCCUGGUAGUCCACACAGUAAACGAUGAAUACUCGCUGUUGGCGAUACACAGUCAGCGGCCAAGCGAAAGCAUUAAGUAUUCCACCUGGGGAGUACGCCGGCAACGGUGAAACUCAAAGGAAUUGACGGGGGCCCGCACAAGCGGAGGAACAUGUGGUUUAAUUCGAUGAUACGCGAGGAACCUUACCCGGGCUUAAAUUGCAGUGGAAUGUAGUGGAAACAUUACAGCCUUCGGGCCGCUGUGAAGGUGCUGCAUGGUUGUCGCCAGCUCGUGCCGUGAGGUGUCGGCUUAAG
rnacentral:rRNA from 1 species